rnacentral:rRNA from 1 species
UACGGAGGGUGCAAGCGUUAUCCGGAUUCACUGGGUUUAAAGGGUGCGUAGGCGGACAGGUAAGUCCGUGGUGAAAUCCCCGAGCUUAACUCGGGAACUGCCGUGGAUACUAUUAGUCUUGAAUAUCGUGGAGGUAAGCGGAAUAUGUCAUGUAGCGGUGAAAUGCUUAGAUAUGACAUAGAACACCGAUAGCGGAGGCAGCUUACUACGCGAUUAUUGACACUGAGGCACGAAAGCGUGGGGAUCAAACAGG